rnacentral:rRNA from 1 species
UACGUAGGGGGCAAGCGUUGUCCGGAAUUACUGGGCGUAAAGGGCGCGUAGGCGGCCUGCUAAGUCAUACGUGAAAUCCCAUGGCUCAACCAUGGAACUGCGUGUGAUACUGGCGGGCUUGAAUUCGGGAGAGGGAUGCGGAAUUCCAGGUGUAGCGGUGAAAUGCGUAGAUAUCUGGAGGAACACCGGUGGCGAAGGCGGCAUCCUGGACCGAGAUUGACGCUGAGGCGCGAAAGCCAGGGGGAGCAAACGGG